CGGCAGUGAUCGAAUUAUCAUGAGCCAAUCCUUUUCUGAACACUGUGAGGAUUCAUAUGAUAGGUCUGAGCCA
rnacentral:snoRNA from 14 species